UACGGGGGGGGCAAGCGUUGUUCGGAAUUACUGGGCGUAAAGGGCUCGUAGGUGGCCAACUAAGUCAGACGUGAAUCCCCAGGCUCAACUUGGGAACUGCGUCUGAUACUGGAUGGCUUGAAUUCGGGAGAGGGAUGCAGAAUUCCAGGUGUAGCGGUGAAAUGCGUAGAUAUCUGGAGGAAUACCGGUGGCGAAGGCGGCAUCCUGGACCGAGAUUGACACUGAUGAGCGAAAGCUAGGGGAGCAAACGGG
rnacentral:rRNA from 1 species